AGAGUUUGAUCCUGGCUCAGGAUGAACGCUAGCGAUAGGCUUAACACAUGCAAGUCGAGGGGCAGCACGGUGUAGCAAUACACUGGUGGCGACCGGCGUACGGGUGCGUAACACGUAUGCAACCUACCCGCUAUUGGGGGAUAACCCGGCGAAAGUCGGACUAAUAUCCCAUAUUAUUCUUACCGGGCAUCCGGUGAGUCUGAAAGAUUUAUCGAUUGCGGAUGGGCAUGCGGAUGAUUAGCUAGUAGGUGGGGUAACGGCUCACCUAGGCGACGAUCAUUAGGGGUUCUGAGAGGAAGGUCCCCCACACUGGAACUGAGACACGGUCCAGACUCCUACGGGAGGCAGCAGUGAGGAAUAUUGGUCAAUGGGCGCUAGCCUGAACCAGCCAAGUCGCGUGAAGGAUGACAGAUCUAUGGUUUGUAGACUUCUUUUGCAGGGGAGUAAAGUGCGACACGUGUGUUGUAUUGCAAGUACCCUGCGAAUAAGCAUCGGCUAACUCCGUGCCAGCAGCCGCGGUAAUACGGAGGAUGCAAGCGUUAUCCGGAUUUAUUGGGUUUAAAGGGUGCGUAGGCGGGUUAUCAAGUCAGCGGUGAAAUUUUUCGGCUUAACCGUAAAAUUGCCGUUGAAACUGGUGAUCUUGAGUGCGAGCGAGGUAGGCGGAAUGUGCCGUGUAGCGGUGAAAUGCAUAGAUAUGGCACAGAACUCCGAUUGCGAAGGCAGCUUACUAGUACGCUACUGACGCUGAUGCACGAAGGCGUGGGGAUCAAACAGGAUUAGAUACCCUGGUAGUCCACGCAGUAAACGAUGAUUACUAGCUGUUUGCGAUAUACCGUAAGCGGCCGAGCGAAAGCAUUAAGUAAUCCACCUGGGGAGUACGUUCGCAAGAAUGAAACUCAAAGGAAUUGACGGGGGCCCGCACAAGCGGAGGAACAUGUGGUUUAAUUCGAUGAUACGCGAGGAACCUUACCCGGGCUUGAAAUGCAUCUGACCGAAGUGGAAACACUUUUUCUAGCAAUAGCAGAUGUGUAGGUGCUGCAUGGUUGUCGUCAGCUCGUGCCGUGAGGUGUCGGCUUAAGUGCCAUAACGAGCGCAACCCUUGCCGUUAGUUGCCAUCAGGUUAUGCUGGGAACUCUAGCGGGACUGCCACCGUAAGGUGUGAGGAAGGUGGGGAUGACGUCAAAUCAGCACGGCCCUUAUGUCCGGGGCGACACACGUGUUACAAUGGGCGGUACAGAGGGAAGCUACCCGGUGACGGGAUGCUAAUCUUUAAAACCGUUCUCAGUUCGGAUCGGAGUCUGUAACUCGACUCUGUGAAGCUGGAUUCGCUAGUAAUCGCGCAUCAGCCAUGGCGCGGUGAAUACGUUCCCGGGCCUUGUACACACCGCCCGUCAAGCCAUGGAAGUUGGGGGGACCUGAAGUGCGUGACCGUGAGGAGCGCCCUAGGGUAAAUCCGAUGACUGGGGCUAAGUCGUAACAAGGUAGCCGUACCGGAAGGUGCGGCUG
rnacentral:rRNA from 1 species